ACACUCUCUCCUUACCGCGCAUAUCUUCAAAUUCAGCAAAAAAGAGAUCCACAUUAAGAUCACGAAAUCUCACCCCUCACACCGGCUGCCAUGCACGCUUCAUAGUCACUAAAUGUUUCACUCUCAUUCUCGCCUCCUUCUCCCUCCCCUAGUUCCUUCUCUCAACUCAAACCCCCCUAUUUUCUCUCUCUCUCUGCCUCACAACCCUUGUCGCCUUCACCAGCCAUAGAGCACUCUGGACAGUAGCUCUCUUGACGUCUCCUACGUCUCCCUCUCGUAGUCGCCGUGUAGUCACCGUAAGGAAGACCCAUCGAGCUGCCAAUCAAUGUUUGGAGCAAAUCCAACCUUUGGUUCCAUCUCGGACCACCACAAGCAGUGCCGGUGUCACCCACACAGUAGAGCUGCUGAGGAUACUGACCAAAUCGAAUUCCAAAGCUACUUGGGGAAAGCUUCCUUUCCAAUGUUCUUAGUUGGCAAAUCCAUGGAGAGGAAAGAAUUUCUUUAAAUCUACGUAGGUUUCCUCCCUCUCUCUCUGUCUGUUUCAUUGAACACAUUUGAACACAUUUCCAAUUUUUUUUUUAUACAAAUCUGAGUGCAAAUUUGUGUAAUGGUCUGUCGAAUUUUUUUUUUUCUUUAGACAUCUACACCCUUUAUUUCUGAAAUCGUUUGAGGAAUUUUUUUGUAGAUCUCUCUAGUUUAUGAAAUUGAAAUUAGGUUUUGAUUGGCUUAGUCUUGUAAAAAGACUAAUGGAAUUGCAUGAUAAAAGUAAGGGCAAAAGAGGAAAAAAAUUGAACACAGAACGAUAGAAAUGUAAAAAGAACAAAAAGUUAGUCGGUGAGCAAAUAAUGAAAGUAGACAAAACGGUGUGUUUUGGAUGAAAUUUACUAUUCAUCCAUCGAUUGACACUUAUUUAAUAGAAACACACACACACAUACAUAUAUAUAUAUAUAUACAUAUAUGUAUGUAUAUUAUAUGUAAAUUGAUGGGUUUUGAGGGCAUAUAUAUAUUGGUUAUACUUAAAAACCAUUUAUUAAGUAAAUGCAAGACAAAAUGAUAGAAACCAAACAGUGCAGCCAAACAAAUGGAUUUUGAGAGCUAGAAAUGAAACAAAUUUGGAAUCCUAAUUUAAAAAAAAAAAAAAAAAACAAAUAGAAAAACUAAAACGAAGAUUAAAAAUAGAGGCCAAGGUCCUUUAGACGAGAUGACAUAAAGCUUGGUUUUCAAAUAAGAGAACUUGGCUCAAACCCGACCCCUGUAUUUAAAAAAAAGAAAAAAAAAAAAAAAAAAGAAAGAAGAAGAAGAGAGAAAAAGAAAAAAAACCUAAAAAUGAAUGACGUUCCAAAAUAUAGAUGCCAUUAUAGAAUACCAUAUAUAUGUUUCUUUUUCUUUUCCUUUCUUGUCGAAGUUUUCUUCAUUUUGGAAUUUGCAUGCGUACUUACUGGUUCACAAACGUCUGUUUUACCAGCUGUAGUAAUUGAUUCAAGAAAUAGCUAAAAUAUGCAACCCAAAGUACUUGAAGUGGUAACUAAGUUGAGACUUUAAAAAAUUACCACACAAGCUGAAAUUUUUGUGGUAUAUUAAUAAAAGAGUAGUAGUAGUACUGUGCCCACCCAACACUAGCUGUUACUACUUUUCUAAUAAAAGUUGCAUGUCAAUCAUGGAAACAUAAAAAAAUAAAAAUAAAACAAGGAAAAAAAAAAUGAAAGAAUCGUGAUAGUUGAUGCCCUACUUUAUCAAAGUCUCAUGAUCAAGAUGUGAAAUAUACCAUAAUCUUGUAGGCAUUAAGGACAGAGGAUAUGUCCGUUUUCAAACAUAUAAAAAUAUGAAGGGAUCGCAGCAUAGGCUUAAGAGGAAGUAAGUGCGUGGACUUCAGUGUCCAUAUGUUAUUCCCUUUUAACCUAAAAGCUUCGAUUCAACAAGUUCCCAGUAGUCAAAAGAAAAGGCUCAGAUCUUCGAAUAAAGAGCGUGACUAGCCCUUUGGUUAUGAGUCAGGAAUAAUAAGCAGUAGAGUACAAAGAGGAAAAAAAAAAAACUUUGUCUUUCUUCUUUCCCGAAACAAAGAAAAAGAAGAAAAAGAAAGAAAA